GUAUUUGUGCAGUGGCAGUAUCGUAGCCCAUGAGGUUGAUCUGAGGAGUGAUUAUUGCUGGUUGUAAACUUUACCCGAUACCCUGCCUUGAUGACUUGAAGUAUAGUCAGCUAUGGCAAUUUUUGAUAGUCUCCAUAUGAAA